GAUGAACGCUGGCGGCGUGCCUAAUACAUGCAAGUCGAGCGAACAGAUAAUGAGCUUUCUCUUUUGACGUUAGCGGCUGACGGGUGAGUAACACGUGCGUCACCUACUUAUUUUUCUUGGAUAACUCCGUAGGACCACUUCCACUGCUGGAUCAUAUUUCCUACCGCUUGAUUCUAAAGUUCUUCGUGCCUUUGCUAUUUCUUUUAGCUGGACUCGCGCCGGAUUAGCUAGUUGGUAAGGUAACGGCUUACCAAGGCAACGAUACGUAGCCGACCUGAGAGGGUGAUCAGCCACACUGGAACUGAGACACGGUCCAGACUCCUACGGGAGGCAGCAGUAGGGAAUAUUCCGCAAUGGGCGAAAGCCUGACGGAGCAACACCGCGUGAGUGAAGAAGGUCUUCGGAUCGUAAAACCCUGUUAUUAGGAAAGAACAGAAGUAUAAGUAAAUGUGGACGUCUUGACGGUACCUAAAGAAAAAGCAACGGCUAACUACGUG
rnacentral:rRNA from 1 species